GUCUUGGUGGCUCAGAUGGCAGAGCACAGGGCUAGCGAUCCAGUGACCGUGAGUUCAAGCCUCACCCGAGACA